AACGGGUGAGUAACACGUGAGUAACCUGCCCUUAACUCUGGGAUAAGCCUGGGAAACUGGGUCUAAUACCGGAUAGGAGCGCCGACCGCAUGGUGGGUGUUGGAAAGAUUUAUCGGUUUUGGAUGGACUCGCGGCCUAUCAGCUUGUUGGUGAGGUAAUGGCUCACCAAGGCGACGACGGGUAGCCGGCCUGAGAGGGUGACCGGCCACACUGGGACUGAGACACGGCCCAGACUCCUACGGGAGGCAGCAGUGGGGAAUAUUGCACAAUGGGCGCAAGCCUGAUGCAGCGACGCCGCGUGAGGGAUGACGGCCUUCGGGUUGUAAACCUCUUUCAGUAGGGAAGAAGCGAAAGUGACGGUACCUGCAGAAGAAGCACCGGCUAACUACGUGCCAGCAGCCGCGGUAAUACGUAGGGUGCGAGCGUUAUCCGGAAUUAUUGGGCGUAAAGAGCUCGUAGGCGGUUUGUCGCGUCUGUCGUGAAAGUCCGGGGCUUAACCCCGGAUCUGCGGUGGGUACGGGCAGACUAGAGUGCAGUAGGGGAGACUGGAAUUCCUGGUGUAGCGGUGGAAUGCGCAGAUAUCAGGAGGAACACCGAUGGCGAAGGCAGGUCUCUGGGCUGUAACUGACGCUGAGGAGCGAAAGCAUGGGGAGCGAACAGGAUUAGAUACCCUGGUAGUCCAUGCCGUAAACGUUGGGCACUAGGUGUGGGGACCAUUCCACGGUUUCCGCGCCGCAGCUAACGCAUUAAGUGCCCCGCCUGGG
rnacentral:rRNA from 1 species